AGUGAACGCUGGCGGCGUGCUUAACACAUGCAAGUCGAACGAGAACGGAAUAUAGCUUGCUAUAUUUGUCGGCUAAGUGGCGCACGGGUGAGUAAUGUAUAGAUAACCUGCCCUUAAGAAAGGAAUAACAGUUGGAAACGACUGCUAAUGCCCUAUAUGCCAUUAAUACAUAAGUAUGCAAGGGAAACGCUUUAGUGCUUAAGGAUGGGUCUGUAUGGUAACAGCUUGUUGGUGAGGUAAUGGCUCACCAAGGCUAUGACGCCUAACUGGUUUGAGAGGAUGAUCGGUCAGACUGGAACUGAGACACGGUCCAGACUCAUACGGGAGGCAGCAGGGAGGAAUAUUGCACAAUGGACGAAAGUCUUAUGCAGCAACGCCGCGUGGAGGAUGACACAUUUCGGUGCGUAAACUCCUUUUAUAUAGGAAGAUAAUGACGGUACUAUAUGAAUAAGCACCGGCUAACUCCGUGCCAGCCGCCGCCGUAA
rnacentral:rRNA from 1 species